CAGGUUAAGCUGACGAGUGGCGAACGGGUGAGUAAUAUAUCGGAACGUGCCCAGUAGUGGGGGAUAGCCCGGCGAAAGCCGGAUUAAUACCGCAUACGACCUACGGGUGAAAGGGGGGGAUCGCAAGACCUCUCGCUAUUGGAGCGGCCGAUAUCAGAUUAGCUAGUUGGUGGGGUAAAAGCUCACCAAGGCGACGAUCUGUAGCUGGUCUGAGAGGACGACCAGCCACACUGGGACUGAGACACGGCCCAGACUCCUACGGGAGGCAGCAGUGGGGAAUUUUGGACAAUGGACGCAAGUCUGAUCCAGCCAUGCCGCGUGCGGGAAGAAGGCCUUCGGG
rnacentral:rRNA from 1 species